GUUUGUGUUGCAAGAUAGAGAGGCCUGGCACCAGCCAUUGGAUCUAACCUGUCAACAAUGAGCGACGAGGAAGAAAAAGAGAGAGGACGGGAGUGAGGAAGAAGGCAGGAGUUGUGGGAGGAGGGAGAGGAUGCGAGAGAGGGUGACAGCCAAGUGGAGAGGAGACGGAUGGGAGCAAAGUGAAAGCUGAAGACAUCCACCACUGAUUGCAUCAACAGGUCUGAGCCCCUCCAGUGUGUUUUCGACUCGGGGAACAAAGGUGUCUGCGACUGAGAGAUGAAAACUGCGACAACUGAUGAAGAUGACCUGUCAAACUCGCAAUCAGCGGAAAGCAACGUGCACGGACGGAUUGGAGAGAAAGAGUGGAGAUGGAAAGACGGCGUUUAGGAAGAAAAGGAGGGAGUUUACGCCCACCGCCUAAAGAGAUGAGAAGACAGGCAGAGGAGGGGAGAAUUUGUGGAGGAAGCAGAGUGUGUGUGAGUGCCAGAGCUCAUCAGCCUGUCAAACAUCCGUUAUAGACCACAAACCCACACAGCCACUGCACUGCUGAGGUCUAUCACUAAACAGGUGCACUUCCUUCACCUUCACACACACUUUCUGAUGCACUCUGAUCCAGCGUGCAUCUUCCCAGUGUGUUUGUGUGUGUGUGUAGGUGGCCACAUUUACGCACACCAAGUUUGUCCACAGGGCACAAAGCCGCCUUGGCUUAUUUCCAUGUAGCGGAAGGUGAUCCACACUGAGUCACUGUCAUUGAUCAGAAAAUAAAACCAGUCGGGUGGAUUCUUCAUAGCGAGAUGCUUCCUUCACAGCUCUCCUGAGCACCUAAACUGUUUUAGCACAAUCUGCACUCUCAGUCCAACCCACGUUUGAACCCGUAUUAUUCCUCACUGUGCUCGGAGUUUUGUAAUUCUGACUGCUGACGCACUGCAUCUAAAUUCAUCAUCCACUUUACCCGAGGGUGUUACAGCAGGGUUUUGUUUGUCUGUUUGUUUCUUUUAAUGCCUCAGAUACCCCACUCCCUCCACCCCAGAUAUAGGUGUAGUUUGAACCAGAGGACAUUGCAUAAAGUUGAGGUUAAUGCUUUUGUUGUGGGUGGGAAACAAAGCAGUGUGUGAUAUCUCUAAUUAGAAGUGUGAGUCAUUGUGUGAAAUCAGUGAAUUGUACGUUCGAAACCUUCACAAAUCCUGCACCUCAGAAUGCAAACUGUACUCCUGACGCUUUUGGUUUCGUUAACAGUUUCUCCAUCUUCACAUAUAUUUGCACCCGAAUUAGCCGUUUGCGAGGCUUAAACGUCUGUGACAUCUGCCUGCAUCCUACCAAUGAGAAUGAUGAUAUCUGUGUUACUAAUGUGAUCCUUGUUGUGAUGCAGAAUUGUGACUCCGGGUAGAUUAUAUGCUAUUUUAAGACGUAACCUUUCCUCACCUUUUUAACACAGAAAAUGAGUUUCUAUGGGGAUACUGGUGUAUAAGAAUGUUAAUUAGUGGAACUCAUGCACAUUUAUAUUUGUGGCGUAAAAUAUGAACAUGUUGGGCCACUUGUAUGUUUAUAAUCACUAGAAUAUUGUCACAUUUUUGGGGAUAUUUCAGUAAUAUAGAGGUCCACAGUCACUCUAAGCUCUAAUUGGAAGCAACCAAUAAACAGUACAUACCCUAGAAUUGAUCCUGGUUAUGUCUUAUAAUAAAACAGCAAGUGGGAAUGUAAAGAAGACAUUAUUAGCAGCUGAAUAC
ensembl:lncRNA